UCCUUGGUGGCUUAGCUGGUAAAGAAUCUGCCUACAAUGCAGAAGACCUGGGUUCGAUCCCUGGGUUGGGAA
rnacentral:tRNA from 1 species